ACCAAAUACAAACAUGACUUAGACCAUAGUCUUAUUACGCGCCACCCAGUGAAUAAUGGAAACCAAUCAGAAUGUCGAUAAUAAAACUUUAACUUCUAGAAUUAUUAUGAUGAUGGCCCCACCUCAUUCCCACACAAAGGUGUUAUCUCAAUGAUUUAUCUAGAAGGCAAAUUAAUAUAAUUAAACGUUAUCUUGCAGACCGAUAUUUUGAAACAGAUCCCCCUGCAGAGUUAACAUAUUUGUCAUAAAAAAUUGUAUAGUACCGAAAAUACCGGUACUGGCUUUUGUUCAGUACCGGUAUUACGGUACCAAAAAUGGAUCGGUAUUCCCGGGAUUUUCGGUACCGGUAUUACCGGUACCACAACCCUAGCGGCGAGGCGUAGGUAUGCCGGAGCAAGUCGGCGCGUCGACGAAGACCGGAUAAUAAAUAGACAAAGCUAAUUGUAAACAAACGAAACAGAGAGGAAUCAUCUGGACCACAUUGUGCGAUAGGUUAUCUUUAGUAUAAUUAUUAAGAUAUAUCGGUAAAUCAAAUACCACUAAUCUCAAAUUGAGCAAAGGUCGAUUGUGGUACGAGCUACCUUAAUAUGUCGCAGAGGUUUGCUAUGUAGAGAACAGGUUUGAAUUACUUAUCAUCUGAAAAUCAUCUCCAAGAGUGCAAUUGUCUACUUGAAGACAUCGAGAAGAAACUAAUUUUCGAGUCUCGCCAAAAACGGACUGCGAAAACUUCUACAA